CAAAACUUGUUAUUCUUCCCUAAUAAAUCCAGACAGUUUUUUGAUCUUUAGGCUCAAAUAUAAAUUACUUCACACUGUAAUUUCUUUGAGAUGUGCCCCCAUGGGUGCUCCACUUCAGGUGUGAGCGUGCCCCCUGCACCUUCGAUCAGAGAUUUUCAUUAGCCGUGCUUGUUCAGCCUGUGCCCUGCACCAAGGCUGUAUCAGUUUGCACAGGCAAACUGCCCUCAGUUCCUUCUGUACCACCAAGUCUCAGAAGGAAACUCCGAAACAGAAGGGACGGAGGGUCGAUAGUGGAGCACAUCUCUAAGAACUACAGUUAAUGCACAAGAACAAGCAGACUCUAAUCCCAUGAACCAUGGAGGAGUCCCACCUUGAGGCAGAGAAUUCUCAGAUUGGGAUGCAGCAGUUGAUCGCUGGACAAAGAGCUAAGUGAAACAAAAGAAACUGUCUAUCAAGGCAAGUCCAGUUAAACUAAGGCACCAUCUAGAACUCAUGUACACAAGGGAAACCAUGAGUUCUCCUCUUCCUGACCAAUGCCAGUAUCACCACCAAAAGACUUGAAAAGCUGAAGGUCAACAUAAUGCAAAAGCAGUAGAUUUGACAUAAUGGAAUACGAAAUCCAGCAUCCCUAACCCUGGCAGUAGCAGGUAUCUGAUGCUACAGAAGAACACAUCACACCAACACCUACCCAAUAACAAACAUCACUAAUUGCACAAAGCUUGCAGGAGAUGGGGGUGUGCUCAGGCUUCCUUCCAGAUGUGAUAUAAACCAGCUUAUUUUCUAAAUAAUGAGAUUUGAUUACCCUUCUCUUAGCAUGCCUACGUGCAAAUUCUAGGUCAUUCAAUUACUGAGCCCUUUAAAAAUAUCCAGCCACUGUAUUUGACUGAAUAACCUCCACUAACAGAGAAUUCCACCAGCUGAGUGCAUGCUGGUUGAAGAAAUAUUUGUAUCUGUUCUAAAGUUACAGGUCAUUCAUUCUAUCUAGUGACUCCUUGUUCUUGUUUAAUGAGGUGGGGGUGGAGGCAGACUCAAUCAUUCUCAUCAUUCCUUUGUAUUUUUGAAUAUCUCAAUGCAGACAUCUCCUGCCUUUUUCCUUUCCAGGCUGAAUAAUCCUAUUUUUUCAGUUAUAUCAUAAACAAGUCAGAUCAUAUCUCUAAUCCUCUGUUUCCCUUCUGUGCAUCAUUUUAUAGUCCCUGUGGCCAACACCACUGCUAACUCUCAUCUUUUCUUUGGUUUUUCAUUUUCUCCCACUAAAGUAAUAUGAGCUACUGAGACACACCUUUGUCUAUGCCCUUUAACUAAGAUUGAAUAGGAAGGUGUAGGGUCCAGAAACUCUUUACCCUUCAUCUCCUCUCUUUAGAAGUUAUGGACAGGGGGUGACUGAAUAUUGCAGCACCUAACUUUUAGGCCCAGAGCAUUGCACAACCUCUUAUUAGGCACCAGGCUCCCCAUACAAUGCAUAAGGAGAAUUAGGAGAUUAAAAAGGGAUUCACAAAAAACAGCAUACUGAGCCAGGAGCCACCUAAACUCUCCUCAGGAAAUGAUUAGGAUGGAGGUGUGUCUUGUUAGGCAAAAGUUAAAAAUUAGCUAACAGCUAAAACAAAAACCGCAGAACAAGCAGGAAUGCUUCAGUAGCAUUAAGUAGCAAGGACACUAACAACUGUAAUCAAUUAAUAAGCUUAUAUGGUCAAUGCCUGCCCAGUAACUCAGCUCUUAGAACAGAACAAACCCUCUCUUCACAGCCCACUGAAUAUCUGUAGGCACUCAUCCCUAACCCACCACCCCACCCCACCCCGCCUCCUUCCCCUGCAAGGUUGUCAUAAACAUUUAAUGCAAUUAAAAUGAUCUUUAUAA